AACGUAGGAGACGAACGUUAUCCGGAGUUACUGGGCGUAAAGGGCGUGUAGGCGGUUUGUUAAGUCUGGCGUGAAAGCUCUCGGCUAAACCGGGAGAGGUCGUUGGAUACUGGCAAACUUGAGGAUGGUAGAGGCGUGUGGAAUUCCGGGUGUAGUGGUGAAAUGCGUAGAGAUCCGGAGGAACACCAGUGGCAAGGCGACACGCUGGGCCAUACCUGACGCUAAAGCGCGACAGCAUGGGGAGCAAACGGG
rnacentral:rRNA from 1 species